UAUUCCUUGUCCUUUGUAGCUUUGUAUAUUUUCCUAUUGUCUUUGGAAAAAUAUUGACCGACAUUCUUUGACAAAAGGAAACUAACGUUUCUUUUGUUUUGUGCAGGUUCCUUGCUGGGCUGGGAAAGGGCUUGAAGUGGUAAAGUUGAAGCCCACUUUACAAACUCCACCUGGCCCAAUUUUAACUCUUCGGUGUCUUCCUCGUUUUCAUCGACGAAGAUCAAAGACCAUUUCUUCUCUUUCUCCCGACGAGUCUCGCGACGUUUAUGGCGUCACACACCGGUGACUUCUCCCGUCGUUUCUCCGACGAGUCCGUGUAGCUCGUACGCUGCUACAGCCUCACCACUCUCUCUCGCUUCGACUCCUUGUCGGUAGAUCGAAUUUCCCCAGAUCUUCAGCUCGAUCUUCAGCAAACUCCCACCAUCUAAGCACCACCCGCUAGAACUUCAGUGAUCAAACACAUCAUGUAUCCUCCUUGGAACGUUACCAGCGACUCUCUUGAGCUUCCUCCGUUCUUAUCAAUAAACCCAUCUCCCUUCAGUUUCUCUAUACUCGUCUCCCUUCAGCUGCCACUGCCGUUUAAGACGUUCUCUCAGGUA